AGCGAACGCUGGCGGCAGGCUUAACACAUGCAAGUCGAGCGGGCAUCCUUGUGGUGUCAGCGGCAGACGGGUGAGUAACGCGUGGGAACGUGCCCUUCGGUUCGGAAUAACUCAGGGAAACUUGAGCUAAUACCGGAUACGUGCGAGAGCAGAAAGGUUUGUCUGCCGAAGGAUCGGCGCGCGUCUGAUUAGCUAGUUGGUGAGGUUACGGCUCACCAAGGCGACGAUCAGUAGCUGGGCUGAGAGGAUGAUCAGCCACACUGGGACUGAGACACGGCCCAGACUCCUACGGGAGGCAGCAGUGGGGAAUACAGGACAAUGGGGGCAACCCUGAUCCAGCCAUGCCGGGUGAGUGAUGACGGCCUUAGGGUUGUAAAGCUCUUUUCUCCGGGACGAUAAUGACGGUACCGGAGGAAUAAGCCCCGGCUAACUUCGUG
rnacentral:rRNA from 1 species